rnacentral:misc_RNA from 1 species
UGUUCCAAAACCUAAGAGAGGAAUAGUUUUGUCACUCGAAACAAGGAUGGUCUCUGGAAUGCUUCCCAUUUUCUCUAGGUAGCCCAGUCUCCAAUGAGUUUCUGUUCUUUACUUGCCGACUUAUACCCAAGAUCUCAAAAUUAUAAUCUAUUAAUUAACAUAAAAGAAAGCUUCAGAUCAAAGGUGCACAGCCGGCUUUCAAGACUUUUCAAAUGGGAAUCCUCAG